rnacentral:rRNA from 1 species
AGAGUUUGAUCAUGGCUCAGGGCUAACGCUGGCGGCGUGUCUUAGCCAUGCAAGUCGAGCGGACUUAUGGGGUAACUUAUAAGUCAGCGGCGGACGGCGGAGUAACACGUAGCUAACCUACCCUCUGGACGGGGAUAACCUACCGAAAGGUGGGCUAAUACCCGAUGUAGUCAUCCUGUAUAGGGGUGAUGAAAGGUGGGCUUCUGUUUACAAGCUCAUGCUGGAGGAGGGGGCUGCGGCCUAUCAGGUAGUUGGUAGGGUAAUAGCCUACCAAGCCGAUGACGGGUAGCCGGCCUGAGAGGGUGACCGGCCCGAGGGGCACUGAGAUACGGGUCCCACUCCUACGGGAGGCAGCAGGCUAGAAAUUUGGGCAAUGGGGGAAACCCUGACCCAGUGACGCCGCGUGCAGGAAGGAGCCCUUCGGGGUGUAAACUGCUGUCGUGUAGGGAGAAGGGUACUAAGGUGAACAAUCUUAGUACUUGACGGUACUACAGGAGGAAGCCCAGGCUAACCUCGUGCCAGCAGCCGCGGUAAUACGGGGUGGGCGAGCGUUGCCCGGAAUUACUGGGUCUAAAGGGGGUGUAGGCGGUCUGGAUAGUCGGGUGUGUAAUGCAAUCGCUCAACGAUUGAGCUGCAUCUGAUACUUCCAGGCUAGAAGGCGGUAGAGGAGAGCGGAACUCCCGGUGUAGCGGUGGAAUGCGUAGAUAUCGGGAGGAACGCCGGUGGCGAAGGCGGCUCUCUGGGCCGUUCCUGACGCUGAGGCCCGAAAGCUGGGGGAGCGAAAGGGAUUAGAUACCCCUGUAGUCCCAGCCGUAAACGAUGGGCACUAGGUGUACCUUUUAACGGAGGUAUACCGUCGGGAAACCAAUAAGUGCCCCACCUGGGGAGUACGCCCGCAAGGGUGAAACUCAAUGAAUUGACGG